rnacentral:misc_RNA from 1 species
AAGUCGUAACAAGGUUUCCGUAGGUGAACCUGCGGAAGGAUCAUUACUGAGUGCGGGCCCCUCGCGGGUCCAACCUCCCACCCGUGUCUCUUGAAUACCCUGUUGCUUUGGCGGGCCUACCGGGGAACUCCCGGUUGCCGGGGGGCACUGCGCCCCCGGGCUCGCGCCCGCCAGAGCGCCUAUGAACCCUAAUGAAGAUGGACCGUCUGAGUGUGAGAUACAAUGAUCAAAACUUUCAACAAUGGAUCUCUUGGUUCCG